UGAGGAAUAUUGGUCAAUGGACGCAAGUCUGAACCAGCCAAGUAGUGUGGAGGAUGACGGCCCUAUGGGUUGUAAACUGCUUUUAUAUGGGGAUAAAGUGGGGAACGUGUUCCCUUUUGCAGGUACCAUAUGAAUAAGGACCGGCAAAUUCCGUGCCAUCAGCCGCGGUAAUACGGAAGGUUCGGGCGUUAUCCGGAUUUUUUGGGUUUAAAGGGAGCGUAGGACGUUUGGUAAGCGUGUUGUGAAAUGUAAGAGCUUGACUUCUAGAUUGCAGCGCGAACUGUCAGACUUGAGUGCGCACAACGUAGGCGGAAUUCAUGGUGUAGCGGGGAAAUGCUUAGAUAUCAUGAAGACCUCCGAUUGCGAAGUCAGCUUACGGGAACGCAACUGACGCUGAAGCUCGAAGGUGCGGGUAUCGAGCAGG
rnacentral:rRNA from 1 species